AAAUUCAUACAAGAUGUUGGACUGAUAGACGCGUGGCGGGCCCAACAUCCUGGCGCACGCGACUACACAUUUUAUUCAUGGGACCUACUCCAGGUUCGACCAUUUCCUGGUAAAAAAUGUGUGCAUGGCCAGGGUGGGACCCAUAACGUGGUCGGACAUUUCCCUCACCCUAGGGAACCUGUGUACAGCCUCGCCAUGGAACUGGAGACUGACCCUCACCUACUGAGAAACCAUGAAACACAUGAGGCAAUUCGUAAAGAUAUACAAGAAUACUUCACCACAAACGACACUGAGGAUAUAUCCCCGAGAAUUAUUUGGGCGGCACACAAGGCAGUGAUCAGCACAUGUAUAAAAUUGGCCACACGGAAGAAGGCAUUAAAGGCGCUGUUAGACUUGCUAAAAAAACAGGAACAACAACACAAGACGACUGCUACCCCACAGCUUCUGGAACAACUGUGAGGAACCAGGCGAUCCAUUACAGAACUACUCCUAGACGACACCGCCAAAGCUAUCAUGUGGUCCAAGAAGCCUUUUUACGAGAAAUCGAACAAGAUGGAUACACUGCUGGCCAGGAUUUUGCGUCCACGACAAGGUAGGACACAUAUCACUGCAAUCAGACACAAGGAUGGAACCAUCGAAAACACCCCGUCAGACAUUGCACAAGUAUUCACGGAUUACUACAAGACACUUAAUAACCAUAUGCCUAGAGAUCCUACUACACGUGCAGAGGCAGAAAUAAACAUGCACACCUUUCUAAGCAACCUAGACCUUUCUAAACUCCCGAAGGCAGCUGUGACACAUAUGAACAGAGCCAUCACUGGAGACGAAAUAGACAGGGCAAUAGCACAGCUUAAAGGUAAUAAUGCUACAGGACCAGAUGGAUUGGACAGGGCAUACUACAAAACCUUUAGAGAAGAACUCUCACCCCGCUUAGAACGGCUGUUCAACGACUUCAUGGAGGGUGGGAAGCCGGAGAGCGGAAUGUCAUUAGCCCACAUCAUCCUGCUCCCGAAACCAGGUAGAGAUCCCCUACUCCCGGAUAACUACAGACCCAUCUCCUUAAUCAAUCAUGACAUAAAGAUCUUGGCGAAGGUCCGGACAGAUCGCCUUAACCCACAACUGAAAACACUGAUACACCCGCCACAAGUGGGUUUUAUACCAGAUCGACAGCUUUUCGAGAACACCAGGAGGAACAUAGACCUCAUAUGGCGUCAAAAGACCACAGAUAUCCCAACUGCAAUAGUCACAACUGAUGCGGAAAAAGCUUUCGAUAGGGUCAAAUCGCCCUAUCUCUUUCAUCUCCUGGAAUUUUUGGGAUUCCCAGGAAAGUACGUGGCCUUGAUUAGGGCCAUGUACAACCAAGUAUAUGCACAAGUAAAAAUCGCCGGAGCUGUGACCAAACCCCUUUAAAUUGGGAAAUGGAACACGACAGGGAUGCCCCCACUUUUGUUCGUGCUGACCCUGGAGCCGCUCCUACAAGCAUUGCGAAAAACACCCUCGUAUACACAGAAUAACAGUGGGAGGACAGGAGUUCAUCGUCUCUACCUAUGCAGAUGACGUCUUGUUGACAAUCACAGAACCGAAAGAUUCCAUGGACGCUCUGCAGGAGAUCCUUGCACGAUUCGGAGAAUUCUCCAGCUAUAGGGAUAACCUGGAAAAAUAUAGUGCCCUCCUGUUGGGCCUGUCUGUGGAGGACACGGCGGCGUUGCGGGCGUCCCAUAAUAUCACCAUAGCAAAAGACCACCUAAAGUACUUAGGGAUACAGCUGCCGAACAACCCGGCCAAGCUACGACCCAGCCAAGCUAUUCAAGCUAAACCAUGCCCCACUUAUACGAACCCUAAUACAAGAUAUGGACAAAUGGCUAGAUAAGCCUAUAUCUUGGAUCGGGCGUAUUCACAAAGUAAAAAUGAAUAUAUUACCCCGCAUUCUGUUCCUUUUUCAAGCACUACCCAUCAAACUUUUAAAAUCCGACUUAGCCCCACUGCAAAAGCUAUCAGGGACUUCGUAUGGCAAAAUCAUCACCAUAGGAUCUCCCGAAACAUAUUCUAAAGACAAAAGCAGAGGGGAGGUCUGGGACACCCACACCUAUACUUUUACUAUCUAGCUGCACAGCUAUCUCAGGUGGCUAUGUGGCAUGCACCACUGGAAGUAAGGAGAUGGGUGGACUUAGAUUCCCUCAUAACUGGCCCAGAUUUACCUCAGUACUACAUGUGGGUGCCCAAGGAAGACAGGCCAAUACUGAGGACCACUUGUCCAACUAUCUUAAAUUCCCUGAGGCUGUGGGACGUGUCAGCGUCCAAAUACAAGCUAGCAUCCUCCUCAUCCCCACUUACCCCACUAUUGAGAAAUAGGGCCCUCCCCCCAGGUAUGGCGGCUAGGGAAUUCGCAAAUUUGAAAAAAGCAGGUCUACAGAGAAUAUUACACAUGUUCAGGAACAGUAGCAUAGUUACAUUCGAACAUUUAAAACAGAUAGCGUAUCUCACUCCCAGGGACUUUUUUCGGUACCUACAACUUCAGGACUACAUACGACACCCACACAUACAAGGGGCAGGGAAGGUCCCAAUGACUUUUUAUGAGAAAAUGUGUUUAAACAAAACCACACAAUCAGGACUCAUAACCAUGAUUUGCGCACACAUUUGCUCAGAAACAGAGGAAUGGGGUACACUGACGUACACGGACACCUGGGAGAGGGAAUUAGGAGAGGUCCUGGAUGGAGUGGAGAGAAAUAUCGGAGGCUAAUAAUGCAGUGUCCAUAUGUGUCUCCCUCCAGGAGCAAUCCUAUAAAACCAUGUUUAGGUGGUACACCACCCCGGUCAAACUUUUCCACAUGCAACAAACACCAUCAGACGACCCCACAGGGGCACAUACCUCCAUAUGUGGUGGGACUGCCCACGAGUGCAGAACUACUGGACAAAAGUUUCUGACUUAAUCAAAAAGAUCUUCCACAGGGCACCCAAGCUAAAUCCUUGGACAUAUCUGUUAAACAGAACGCUAGACGACUGGACUAAUAGGGAACAGAAAUUGGUACACAAAAUAUCAUUAGCAGCACGGAGAACCCUUGCACAGUCAUGGCGAAAGGUAGACAUGCCUCCCAUACGGCGGGUAAUAUCCAAUUUGAAAGAAGUAUAUCUAAUGGAUAGCUUGACAGCCAGGGUGAGAGGUUCCAUGACUAGAUUUGAAAAAUUGUGAGAACCCUGGACAAGUAGCGAUCUUUCCACUGGCGUAACAUAACUUUCCCGUCUUAAAACUGAGACUUGAGCAGAAGGUGGACUCCUCAGCAACCAGUUGCACGGGACAGGACACCAGACGCCCCCGCACCACACCGAACUGACGUAUCCCCCCUCUCCCACCCCUCUUUUCCUCCACUCUUUUAUCCAACUCCUUCCCUCCACCCCAUCCUCCAUCUAUCUUAUUCUCUACUUCUUUUCUUCUUUUUCUCACAAUAUUGGGAAGGGUGGUGGGUCUCGAAUUCCUGCACAAAGAAAAUAUAGCGACCCCUGGCUGGCCCAGGACCAUACAGAAAGGGAUGGGCUACACAUCCCCCACCUGAACACUUUACUUUACCCACGAAACUGAAAACUCAUUAGCUCAGAAGGUUUGUUGUUUCAUGCAUACUGCUGGUUUUAUACUCAAGUUUAAAAAAAAAAAAAGUGAAACGUCUUUUUUAUAUGUGGUACACUACAUUGUUGGCUAAAAAAUGGAGAAGCGAAGAUGUGUUAUGAAC
rnacentral:lncRNA from 1 species